rnacentral:tRNA from 1 species
GGCAGUGUAGCAUAGUGGUUAAGGAGUAGGACUUGUAACCGAAAGGUUGCUGGUUCGAUUCCCCAUAGGGGCACUGCUG